UACGUAGGGUGCAAGCGUUAAUCGGAAUUACUGGGCGUAAAGCGUGCGCAGGCGGUUACUUAAGUCGGAUGUGAAAGCCCUCGGCUUAACUGAGGAAGUGCACCCGAAACUGAGUAGCUAGAGUACGAAAGAGGGUCGCGGAAUUCCCGGUGUAGAGGUGAAAUUCGUAGAUAUCGGGAGGAACACCGGUGGCGAAGGCGGCGACCUGGGUCGAGACUGACGCUGAGGCGCGAAAGCGUGGGGAGCAAACAGG
rnacentral:rRNA from 1 species